UACGUAGGCAGCAAGCGUUGUUCGGAGUUACUGGGCGUAAAGAGUGUGUAGGCGGUUUGGUAAGUUUGGUGUGAAAUCUCCCGGCUUAACUGGGAGGGUGCGCCGGAUACUGCCAGACUUGAGUGUGGGAGAGGGAAGCGGAAUUCCUGGUGUAGCGGUGAAAUGCGUAGAUAUCAGGAGGAACACCUGUGGUGUAGACGGCUUCCUGGACCACAACUGACGCUGAGACACGAAAGCGUGGGUAGCAAACAGG
rnacentral:rRNA from 1 species